rnacentral:rRNA from 1 species
AUGGCAAUUGUCCAUACAUACGGGAAGCCUGACAUCUUCUUGACCAUGACUUGCAACCCUAAAUGGGAAGAGAUCACAAAUGAGUUGCUUCCUGGACAGACGGCUCAAAACCGACCUGAUAUUGUGGCUCGCGUGUUGAUGAGGACAUUUCUUCUACUGUUACACCUGUCGCAACUCCUACAUCAGUUAUUCCACUUGGUCCUAUGA